rnacentral:rRNA from 1 species
AUUGAACGCUGGCGGAAUGCUUUACACAUGCAAGUCGAGCGGCAGCGCGGGGCAACCUGGCGGCGAGCGGCGAACGGGUGAGUAAUGUAUCGGAACGUGUCCUGUCGUGGGGGAUAGCCCGGUGAAAACCGGAUUAAUACCGCAUACGAUCGAGAGAUGAAAGUGGGGGACCGCAAGGCCUCACGCGAUAGGAGCGGACGAUCUCUGAUUAGCUAGUUGGUGGGGUAAAGGCCCACCACGGCUUCGAUCAGUAGAUGGUCUGAGAGGCUGCUCAGCCACAAUGGGACUGAGACACGGCCCAGACUCCUACGGGAGGCAGCAGUGGGGAAUUUUGGACAAUGGUGGCAACCCUGAUCCAGCCAUUCCGCGUGAGUGAAGAAGGCCUGCGGGUUGUAAAGCUCUUUUGUCCGGGAAGAAACGGUUUCACCUAAUACGUGAGACUACUGACGGUACCGGAAGAAUAAGGACCGGCUAACUACGUGCCAGCCGCCGCGGUAACAC